GUUUUUAUGGAGCAGAAUAAAUAAAAUUUAUUUCAAGCCCCGCAAACUACUGCACUGAUUGAUUUAAGGGCCGGAGAACAAACUCAAUAAACUCACAAGAAAGAAAGAUGGAGAUGGACGAGACAGAGGCCAGUGAUGCAGAUCCAGCUGAAGCGAAAUGCUUUAUUUUGCAGUGUAAGCUGCAGCCCCAGGUGAUUGAACUGGCAGCUUUUAAAAACUCGACACUAAACCUGCUCAAGCAUAUUGAGUUGUGGGCAGAGCAACACAACUCCUACGAGCAGCAGUUGUGCUACCAAGACAAUGGACUCUAAUGGACAAAUGAUGUGAUAGAUAUGAAUUAACUCUGAGAAUUAAACGACUGCUGCUUGCCAACAAGUAGAGAUGCAGGAGUAAUGAAGAUGUGGUGGUGUAUGUAAAUGCACACAGUUUCAUUUUUUUUUUUUUUAUCUUUCAGUAAUUUUUUUUUUAAAGACUGUCUCUCAAGAUAAAAAUUUUUUUUAUCAUAUUAUAAAUCUGUCUAAAUAAUUUUGUAGUGUUUUGCAGUGGUAAGAGGUGAAAAUGUCCAGAAGCAUAAAAAUCGCACCCAAACCAAAGAUGUCAGCAAAAUGUCACAGCAUCACCAAGCCCCUCUUUAUUCCUUUCAUUUUUACUGUACCUGUAUGUUUGCAUAAGAAAACAAAAUCUGAUGAUUUUUAUGCUUCUGGACAUUUUCACCUCUUGCCAUCAUCUUGUGAUAAAGUGAGUUAAGGUCAGGAUUAUAAUGAAUUUGCUCUUUAGAUGAACAUUCUAUACAAUAUUAAUUUUAUUCUCUAAAUACAGGUUAUUUGUUAAAUGUAGAUUUUAAACUUGGCUGUCUAACCAAACUCAUCAAGAGAUCUAAGUCUGUAGAUAAAUGUAAAAAAAAAAAAAAAAAAAUA